GUCUACGGCCAUGCUACCCUAAACAAGCCUGAUCCCGUCUGAUCUCCGAAGCUAAGCAGGGUCGGGCCCGGUUAGUACUUAGAUGUGAGACCACCUAGGAAGACCAGGAGCUGUAGGCA
rnacentral:rRNA from 1 species